ensembl:lncRNA
UCAAUGAUCUCUGGCAUUGUACUCGAUAGAAACAUUUCAGGUUUAAAACUUAAUUUCUGCUGAACAAUUUCUUUUGCUUUUUCGCAUGACCACCAUACAUGAUAAUAAGUCUCUGGAUAGAUAUUUUACAUUUCCAACAAACAUUACUGAGCACCAUACAUGAUAAUAAGUCUCUGGAUAUAUAUUUUACAUUUCCAACAAACAUUACUGAUCCCUUCUGACAUUUUUGCCAAUCUUACCACAGUAAAAUGCCAUCUAGGAAACAUUUUAAGGGUUUUCUCUAAGGUUAACUGGUUUAAUCAUCUUUCCACAUUUUUGUCCAUUCAUCAAUAUCAAUAUUAUAGCCAAAGUUUUGUGCCCAUUUGACCACCACCUCCUUCACCCUCUCAUCCUCUAGAUCAGUGGUCCCCAACCUUGCGCCUCCAGAUGUUCUUGGACUACAACUCCCAGAAGCCUUCACCACCACCUCUGCUGGCCAGGAUUUCUGGGAGUUGAAGUCCAAGAACAUCUGGAGGCCCAAGGUUGGAGACCACUGCUCUAGAUCAUACUCUAAUAGAUAUGUAUACACUUUUUGAUUGUUUUCUUUCAUGUAAAUCCAUAAUUCAUCCACCUGAACUUUCCCCUCAAAAAAGCCCAUAUUUUUGUGGUCAGGUCGGCGUUGCGAGCAAAGUUCACACCACAGUGCAAGCAGUGAUAGGGCUUCUCCACUGUGUGAACCCUCUGGUGCAUACUGAGAUUUGUCUUCUGGUUGAAGCUCUUUCCACACGGCUUCUCUCCCAUGUGGCUUCUCUGAUGAGAAACCAGAUUUGACUUCAGACGGAAGUGCUUCCCACAUUCUAAGCACGUGUGUGGUUUUCCCCCCUGGUGUGAAUCAUCUGAUGCUCUUUGAGGUGUGUCUUCUGCCUGAACCUCUUCCUGCAUGCCAAGCAUUCGUACGGCUUCUCCCCUGUGUGAACUCUUUGAUGUUUAUUGAAAUUUUGCUUUUCACUGAAGCUCUUCCCGCAAUCGGAGCACUGAUACGGCUUUUCUCCAGUGUGAACUCUUUGAUGGACAGUAAGGUCUGAUUUCUUCACAAAACCUUUCUCGCACUCAAGGCAUUUAUAGGGUUUCUCGCCUGUGUGAAUUUUUCGAUGGGUGCUCAGGUUGCUCCUGGCACUGAAGCUUUUCCCACACUGCAUACAUUUAUGCGGCUUCUCCCCUGUAUGAAUCCUUUGAUGAGAAGUGAGGUAUAUCUGCUGACUGAAGCAUUUCCCGCAUUCCAAACAUGGAUACGAUUCCUUCUCCAUGUGAAUUGCUUGAUGGGAAGCAAGUUGCACCUUCUGAUGGAACUUCUUCCCACACUCCAUGCAUGAAUAUGGCUUUUCCCCCGUGUGAAUUCUCUGGUGACAAGUGAGAUGUGACUUCUGACUAAAGCUCUUUCCACACUCGGAGCAUUUAUGUGGCUUCUUCCCCAUGUGUAUCUGUUGAUGUCUCGUGAGGAGUGUACGGUGGUGGAAGCUUUUUCCACAGGCCAAGCAGUUAUAGGGCUUCUCCUCGUUAUAAAGGCUUCGCUCAAUCCGACUGACGUCUGUUUCCUUUCCCUCUGUUGCAUUUUCAUACCCCUGUCGUUCUGUUGCGUUCUCCCAUCUGUCAUCAUCUGGAAAUAAAGACAAGACAUUGGCGGAGGUCA